rnacentral:tRNA from 1 species
UUUCUAGUGGCUCAGAUGGUAAAGCAUUUGCCUGCAAUGCAGGAGACCCAGGUUCAAUCCCUGGGUUGGGAA